UACGUAGGGUGCGAGCGUUAAUCGGAAUUACUGGGCGUAAAGGGCGCGUAGGCGGUGUGUCAAGUCAGGCGUGAAAGCCCCCGGGCUCAACCUUUGAAAGCCGGUGGAUACUGUGAGGCUAGAGUACGGAAGAGGCGAGUGGAAUUCCUGGUGUAGCGGUGAAAUGCGCAGAUAUCAGGAGGAACACCGAUUGCGAAGGCAGCUCGCUGGGACGUAACUGACGCUGAGACGCGAAAGCGUGGGGAGCAAACAGG
rnacentral:rRNA from 1 species